CGGCGAGUGAAGCGGCAACAGCUCAAAUUUGAAAUCUGGCCCCUUUGGGGUCCGAGUUGUAGUUUGCAGAGGAUGCUUUGGCAUUGGCGGCGGUCUAAGUUCCUUGGAACAGGACAUCACAGAGGGUGAGAAUCCCGUACGUGGUCGCCUGCCUUUGCCGUGUAAAGCUCCCUCGACGAGUCGAGUUGUUUGGGAAUGCAGCUCUAAAUGGGAGGUAAAUUUCUUCUAAAGCUAAAUACCGGCCAGAGACCGAUAGCGCACAAGUAGAGUGAUCGAAAGAUGAAAAGUACUUUGGAAAGAGAGUCAAAAAGCACGUGAAAUUGUUGAAAGGGAAGCGCUUGCAGCCAGACUUGCCCGCAGUUGCUCACCUAGGCUCUUGCCUGGGGCACUCUUCUGCGGGCAGGCCAGCAUCAGUUUGGGCGGCCGGACAAAGGGCUCUUUCAUGUAUCUUCCUUCGGGAUGACCUUAUAGAGGAGUCGUAACGCGGCCAGCCCGGACUGAGGUCCGCGCUUCGGCUAGGAUGCUGGCGUAAUGGCUGUAAGCGGCCCGUCUUGAAACACGGACCAAGGAGUCUAACAUCUAUGCGAGUGUUUGGGUGUCAAGCCCGGGCGCGCAAUGAAAGUGAACGGAGGUGGGAACCCUUUGGGUGCACCAUCGACCGAUCCUGAUGUCUUCGGAUGGAUUUGAGUAAGAGCAUAGCUGUUGGGACCCGAAAGAUGGUGAACUAUGCUUGAAUAGGGUGAAGCCAGAGGAAACUCUGGUGGAGGCUCGCAGCGGUUCUGACGUGCAAAUCGAUCGUCAAA
rnacentral:rRNA from 1 species